UGCAGUCUCGUGCGAUAAUGCCGAGUAGGGCGACAUCCAAACUGGUCAUUUUCAAUGAUAAUUUCCUGACCUGAAGAAGGCGAGUAGUGAGAAAAGACAUAAAUACCUGUUUGGAGUCCAAAGCAGACCAGAUUUUACACCAGUUUUGUCCAGCUGCAGUUAAGCUGUGAAAGAGCGACAUCUGUCCUAACGGAGAACAAACUAAAAAUACUUGUUAUUGGAUCACAAGUUGAUACAAGUGGCGGCAUAUUGGCGCUUGUAAGCAGCAUAUUGGCGCUGGUACGGGGCGAUGACAAUUCAACUCCUCGCACAAUGUCUAGAACGUCUGCACAGUCGGUUUCUCCCUUGGGGUUGAGUUGAUAAAGAGUUGGAUCAACUCAUCAAUACUUUACUCUUUAUGACCGAAAGUUAUUUGAUAAUAAAUUGCUGGAAACUA